rnacentral:lncRNA from 1 species
CGAAACAGCCGCUACUCAGUUAAACAACGAAACUGAGGGUGUGAGUGCUUUUCUGGAACAUACCCCAACCUGCAGGGCCAGUCUUCUUCCUGAGGAAGUGGUCUGGUAUGCCAGAUAAGUGCUCUGUCACCGUGCCAUGUCCCCAGACUUGGAAGUGGCCUGGUGGCUUCUUAUUGUUCUCAUUGGCCAAAUGGAAUUAUUAUUUCAAAUUCAAAGAGCGAUUAGAGGAAGUGUCUAGCAAGUGUGCUGGUGGAGAGCAAGCCCCAGACAUCUCCCCGACGGUGCCCGCUCCUGCCCUUUCUGCUCCCUGGCAUGGCGCAGCCACUAGAACCCAUGCUUCGGCCCUACCGUCUACCACAGUUCUGUAUCUCUGCCCCACCUCCCUGUCGGAAUGCUCUCAUCAACAAAGUGCUUUGUGAAGAAGUGAAAAAGAACACAGGAUGCAGAGAACAAAGCUGGGCAGUUCGUCACUCA